rnacentral:lncRNA from 1 species
UUUCCUGCACUUCCUGGGAAUUUUUUAACUUUUCCAAUUCGUAUUUCAGGAAGUUGUUGCUCUCUUGUAAGGCUUCUCUUUCCUUUCCCCAUUUAUCUUCUAACUCUCUUUUGAGACUUUUAAUGGUCUCUUCUAUGAGAGCAUUAUGUAAAAGAGGACAGUCUGAUGCAUUUUUGCUGUUUGAGGUCUCUUCAGGUUUGCUGACCUGCUCUUUUCUGCAUAGAAGCUGUCGAUCGUUCUUUUCAUCUUUUUAUUCAUGUUUUAAAGCCUUUAGGGUAUGUCUCCUAGGCAAGGGGGUUACCAGCUUCCUCUGCAGAGCAGGGAGAGAUGUAAACCGAUUUCCGGCUCCAAGGUAUGGGAGUGCUCCGAGUGAGAGUUUUCCCUUCCCCCAACAGGAAGUGGAUUCAGCACUGGCUGAGCUAUCAAACUGCUUAGUAGGGCUGAGUGGAUUAUCGAUUGCCCUAGGCUAGAGACUAAGUGGUGAAAGUGUCACUGCCCCAGGCCGGAGCCUCUUGUGGGACUGUGAGUAUUAGCAGCUGAGCACAGACUGCAGACCGCCAGGAACUCUGCCCCAGUGUCUCUGCCCAAUGCAAAUCGGCCCUGGAAAAGCUCUAUGGCCCCAAGCCGAGCUCCCCACUGUGCAGAUUGGAGGCUAACCCGGGCUGCGUCCUCCUGCGGUGCAGGAUCACAACUGCCCCAAGGAAAAGCCCUUACUGCGGGUUGGGGCUGCGCGCUUGUGCUGAGAUCUGUGCUUUCUCCCUCGGUUUGAGACUCUCCUCGGAACCUAAUUUCUCUCCCUGUCUGCGCCGAUCUCCCCCCUGGCCCCGGAACCAACCUUUUUUUGGCGAGACUGCAGAUUUUCUUCGGCCGGUGAGUUGUUCUAUUUCUUAUCUUUACGAAUUGUAGCAGUCAAGACUAUUUUUGAGGCUCGAUAUAAUAUUGAUAAAGAGGGUAAGAGAAGAGCUUAGAAAGUCGCGUGUGUCUUCUCCGCCAUCUUGGCUCCGCC